CCCUGUUGAAGAUCCCUGGAAUUCUUCAAGGGUAAAGGGUUUUGAGCUCGGAAUUCUUCAGGGGUAAAGUGUUUUGAGCUUGGAAUUCAUCAGGGGUAAAGUGUUUUGAGUUUGGAAUUCUUUUGGGGUAAAUGGUUUUGAGCUUGGAAUUCUUCAGUGGUAAAGGGUUUUGAGCUUGGAAUUCUUCAGGGUAAAGAGGUUUGAGAUUGAAAAUUUUCAGGGGUAAAGGGUUCUGAGCUUGGAAUUCUUUAGGGGUGAAGGGUUUUGAGCUUUGAAUUCUUCAGGGGUAAAAGGUUUUGAGCUUGGAAUUCUUCAGGGGUAAAGGGUUUUGAGCUUGGAAUUUUGGAAUUCUUCAGGGGUAAAAGGUUUUGAGUUUGGAAUUCUUCAGGGGUAAGAGUUUUGAGCUUGGAAUUUUGGAUUUCUUCAGGGGUAAACAGUUUUGAGCUUGGAAUUCUUCAGGGGUAUGACAAUGAAAAACAUGUAUCCUCGACAGGGGGGUACGGAUAUUAAAUGGAAUAGCCCAUUUUGAACAU